rnacentral:sRNA from 1 species
ACUGAGGGUGCCGGGAUGGAGGCGCCCAGCCGGACCCUGGUGGUGGGCUCAGCGGAGUCCUACACCAGCCGUCCAUCAGACUCUGAUGUAUCUCUGGAGGAGGACCGGGAAGCCUUAAGGAAGGAAGCAGAGCGCCAGGCAUUAGCGCAGCUCGAGAAGGCCAAGACCAAGCCAGUGGCAUUUGCUGUGCGGACAAAUGUUGGCUACAAUCCGUCUCCAGGGGAUGAGGUGCCUGUGCAGGGAGUGGCCAUCACCUUCGAGCCCAAAGACUUCCUGCACAUCAAGGAGAAAUACAAUAAUGACUGGUGGAUCGGGCGGCUGGUGAAGGAGGGCUGUGAGGUUGGCUUCAUUCCCAGCCCCGUCAAACUGGACAGCCUUCGCCUGCUGCAGGAACAGAAGCUGCGCCAGAACCGCCUCAGCUCCAGCAAAUCAGGCGAUAACUCCAGUUCCAGUCUGGGAGAUGUGGUGACUGGCACCCGCCGCCCCACACCCCCUGCCAGUGGUAAGAGCCAUCGCCAUGCAGGGGUUUGGGAAGAAGCUCCUGGGUGGGGUGGUCUCCCCACUCCCUGAAUCCU